rnacentral:lncRNA from 1 species
AGACAGUUCCCUAGGCAGAGACUGGGCUUGAAACAGUUCCUCUAAAGAAGAGGGUAGAGACUAGAACUGAAUGAGAUGGACAUAGAGAUGGCCAAGAAAAGCAUCGUCCUCUGCCAAGUCAUGGGGUCAUGUGUGGUGGAUGGUGACAUGGUGUCCUCAGCUCAGAGUCCAGCUGGGGGCUCAGAAGCAAGGUCAUCAAGACCAUGGCUUCCAUCGUAGGCAGUCACACUCUUUCUCUCUUGGAUCAUUUGCUGUGGGGAAGCAAACUGUCAUAUGAGAGGACACUCAAACAGCCUCUGGAGUCUCAUUUGCUAAGGAACUGAGGACUCCAGCCUGAGAACUCAGGCAAGUAACUGAGGCCUGCCAACAACCAUGGAGAAAGCCUGGAAGUGGAUCCUCCCUCAGCCUUCAGUCGAGACAACAGCUGCAAUGACAGCCAAGCCAGCGCCACCCAGCUUAGCCACCCCCAGAGAACUAACUCUCAGAAACCAUGUAAGAUAAUACAUGUUUGUUGUUUUAAGCUGCUAAGUUUUGGGGUAAUUUAUUAUACAAUAGAUAAUUAAAACACAUAGCAUAUAAAUAAAAUCAAUAAAACCAGUAUGGGUCAGUAAUGAGUAAAUUAGAUAAUUAGACAAAUUUUGACAUUUCUGUUUCUAUGUUAAUUAUUUUUCUUCAGAAAAAUUCUCUACGGGUAAAAUAUGUUAAGAGUGGUUACCAACGGACAUUUUAAAAUUAAUAAUCAGUUUGGGAGGCCAAGGCGGUUGGAUUGCUUUAACUCAGGAGUUUGAGGCCAACCUGGGCAACAUGACAAAACCCUGUCUCUACAAAAAAUACAAAAAUUAGCCAGGCAUGGUCGUGUGUGCCUGUAGUCCCAGCUACUUGGGAAGCUGAGGUGGGAGGAUCAAUUGAGCCUGGGAGGCCAGGCUGCAGUGAGUCAAAAUCAUACCAUCUCAAUCCAGCCUGAGCAACAGAGUGAGACCCUAUCUAAAAUAUAUACAUGUAUAUUAACAAUUAUCUCUUGAAACUAAAGUAUAAUCACAGUACUAGUGUACUAUUUUCCAUUUUAUUAAAUGCACUAA